rnacentral:rRNA from 1 species
CGUGGCAGACGGGUGAGCAACACGUGGGUAACCUACCCGGAGGUGGGGGAUAACCCUUCGAAAGGAGGGCUAAUACCGCAUGACAUCGUGAGGACCUCGGUCUUCGCGAUCAAAGCUGGCCUCUGUUUACAUGCUAGCGCCACUGGAGGGGCCCGCGCCCCAUUAGCUAGUUGGUGAGGUAACGGCUCACCAAGGCGACGAUGGGUAGCCGGCCUGAGAGGGCGACCGGCCACACUGGAACUGCGACACGGUCCAGACUCCUACGGGAGGCAGCAGUGAGGAAUCUUGCGCAAUGGGCGAAAGCCUGACGCAGCGACGCCGCGUGAAGGAUGAAGGUCUUCGGAUUGUAAACUUCUGUCGAGUGGGACGAAUGCCAUGGGGGCGAAUAACCCUCGUGGUUGACGGUACCGCUGGAGGAAGCCCCGGCUAACUCCGUGCCAGCAGCCGCGGUAAUACGGAGGGGGCCAGCGUUGUUCGGAAUCAUUGGGCGUAAAGGGCGCGUAGGCGGCCGAUCAAGUCGGAGGUGAAAUCCCUCGGCUCAACUGAGGAACUGCCUCCGAUACUGUUCGGCUUGAGUCCUGGAGAGGGUAGUGGAAUUCCGAGUGUAGCGGUGAAAUGCGUAGAGACUCGGAAGAACACCAGUGGCGAAGGCGGCUACCUGGACAGGUACUGACGCUGAAGCGCGAAAGCUAGGGGAGCA